rnacentral:rRNA from 1 species
GAUUUCUGGUUUGAUAUGCCUGGCCCGCCACGGUUACGUGUGUGAGUGCCGGUGCGUGUCUGCCAUCCUUCUGGAAAACGUGUCUUCCCUUCACUGGGCCGGAUUUGGGGUCUGGAUCUUUUACUUUGAAAAAAUUAGAGUGUUUAAAGCAGGCGUUUGCUAUGAAUACAUUAGCAUGGAAUAAUAAUCUAGGACUUCGGUUCUAUUUUGUUGGUUUCUAUAACUGAAGUAAUGAUUGAUAGGGACAGUUGGGGGUGCUAGUAUUGGCCGGUCAGAGGUGAAAUUCUUGGAUUCGGUCAAGACUAACUUAUGCGAAAGCAUU